AUGCUGUGGGAGAACAGCUCAGCUGCCCAGCACCCAACAAGGAGCAGCUCUGUGAACAAGAACAGGAUCCCAAGGGCAAGCAGAACUUCCUGGUUGCAGGCCCUGCCUUCUUUCGACACCAUGGGAAGAUUUUCUAGGAUGAAACGUUGUCGAUUCUUCAAGCAGCAUGUGUCCUCUUAGAAAUCAAUGAAAGAACUGCUCUAGCAAAAUAUUUAAAAUAUUUCUUUCAUCUGUAGAGAACUGAACAGCCAACUUUUAAUAAUCUGACAUAUUCAACUGACUUCAAGUGGUAGCUCAAGGUAAGAGUCUGAUUAGCUCAUGGUUUCUUCUACUGAAAAUAAAAUGAUUAAAAGAUAGAAUUUCA
rnacentral:lncRNA from 1 species